GCCGCUCAGAUUCUCCUGGAAAGUGCCCAUAA
rnacentral:piRNA from 1 species